UCAGGAUGAACGCUAGCGGCAGGCUUAACACAUGCAAGUCGAGGGGCAUCGGGAGUAGCAAUACGUUGCCGGCGACCGGCGCAAGGGUGCGUAACGCGUGAGCAACAUGCCCGUAUCAGGGGGAUAAUCCAUGGAAACGUGGUCUAAUACCCCAUAGUAAUUAUGUAAGGCAUCUUAUAUAAUUUAAAGCUUUGGUGGAUACGGAUUGGCUCGCGUGACAUUAGCUGGAUGGUAAGGUAACGGCUUACCAUGGCUACGAUGUCUAGGGGUUCUGAGAGGAAGGUCCCCCACACUGGAACUGAGACACGGUCCAGACUCCUACGGGAGGCAGCAGUGAGGAAUAUUGGACAAUGGAUGGAAAUCUGAUCCAGCCAUGCCGCGUGCCAGGAAGACGGCCCUAUGGGUUGUAAACUGCUUUUGUAUGGGAGCAAUAAGGGCUACGUGUAGUCCGAUGAGAGUACCAUACGAAUAAGCACCGGCUAACUCCGUGCCAGCCGCGGC
rnacentral:rRNA from 1 species